rfam:Aedes albopictus isolate Foshan contig18118, whole genome shotgun sequence.
UAGCCUAGUGGCUAAGGCUAUGGAUCGCCAAUCCGGAAACGGCGGGUUCGAUUCCCGU